UAAAGCAACUACUGUAUCUCCUAAUUCUUCACAGCUGAGCUGCCAUGAUGAGAUUGCCCAUGAUAAAUCAUGGAGCAGGACCGCCACAUAUGGAUAAGUCUUCAGGGCAAGACACUACAAUGGCUUCCCCAAGAAGGAGAAAAAGCACCAUGAGAGUAACCCCAUGCCCUGCCACUGCCUUAGUGACUGUUGCCAAAAGGCAUAGAUGGCAAAUCAUAUUGGCUACAGUGACCUGCUUUCUCGCUUCUACCAUUGCAUGUAAUGAAGGGUCUUCAGCUACUCCUUGUCAGAACCCUCUUGGCACUGUGGCUACAACUUUACCCUUGCAGCCUGACUUAUUGCUAUCCCAGAACGCUACUGGUGGCAUCUUGAUGAAACCCAACAAGUACUUACUGAACCACAUUGUAAAAGGGCAAACUGACUUGCAUGCUGCUGGGGAAAAGCAACGUGCUAGAAGCUUACGGGCAGACUCUGUAGGCACCACAGACCAGCUAAGCCUCCCAGAAGCCAAAUGGAGUGACUUAAGCCAGAUCUCUGCACUUGCAUUCAAGCUUGAUGGAAAAGGGAGCCUGCAUUAUAAAUUGAGAGCUGCCAAGAAAGAUAAGAAUGGCAUUGACUCUAAGACUCUGAGACUUGAAACUUCUCUGACUCUUGAUGCGCUAGCCAAAACGACAGGGGAAAGCUUAGAAGAGAAGCCUAAGGGGCUACAGGCAUCCUCUAAGGAGGACCUGACGUUCUCUCCACAUGCAUCUAAAGCUGUGGAAGUUGGCACAAUGGACUCUAAUUACCCUGCAAUGGUACCUGGUACUCUGUCCCAAGCACAAUCCCUUCUGAUAGAUGCAGACUUCUUGCAGUAUGACUCAUUGCACUCUGCUCCAAAGGCAUCUGCACAGCCCCUAAAAGUUUCUCCAGAUGCUGCCUCCAUUGCUCAGUCAAGUUCAAACUCUGGCUUGAAGCAACAAGCUGCUGUAGACAGUCUCACUAGUGAUGCAUGGGGUCUGUAUAAAAUGACCCACUUUGCCACACUAAUGGCUCCCAGCAAUAGCCUAGAUCAGAGAGCCACUAGAAGUAGUCCCACUAGUGUCUUGCCUAAAUUCCUGGCCUCUGCACCUCCAACAUAUAGGGCUAGCAAAGAACUUUCCUACUUAAUGUCACUGACCACAAGUCCUACUGUGCCAGCCAGCCCAGCUGUUCCCACCCAGGAUAACUUAACCAUGAGUACCAACUUCCCAGAGUCCACAUCUCUGGAAGCAACUAACAUUGGCCCUAUAGAACUGAUCACCAGUAGGUGGCCAGGUUCUUCCCCCAUAUCAACUGGUGUGGCUGCUCAUGAACCUGUGGAGCCAGUGUGGCUUGGUACUGUCCCUGGGACACAGCCAGGGUCUCUGACACCAUCUCCAUCAGGAGAAAGUUUCUUGGAUACAUCCCCCAGUGUAACCAUGCCCAACCAGGAACACCAUCCCUCUGAACUAUCUGAUGUGACGAAAUUCAUGUUGAGCGCUCUUCCUGUUAGCAUGUCACAACCCACUAACCUGCUCCCGGCCCCAGUAUCUACAGCAAGACUGCCCUCUGCCAAACCAAUGGCCAGUACCUCAGCUUCUGCACCACUGCAUGUGGGUGACCUGAGCCACUUCACAGAGCACCCAUCUCCUGGGCCCCUUACUGUUCCGGACACCUUAGCAGGCCACACUGAACAGGUAGAGACUGAGGAGCAGUUUACUGCAGCUGUACUGAUGGCUGUCUCACCCACUCUUAGAGAGUCAAUUAAUUGGCCAACACUACCUGUACAUGUCAGCACUACUGCACAGUCUCCUCCCCCAUCUGGUGCUCCAGUCUCGCCACUAAAGGUAACUCUUCCUGGUGUGGUGCAUGCAAGUUCAGUAGAAGUGUCAUCUGGGUUUCCCUCACAGAGUGGUGUAGGGAGAUCUAUCCCUACCGCUCUGUCAGGACACAGUGGAACAAGGGCUCACAUACCAUCAGUUCCCAAGCCAGCCACUGCUGGGCUGGGCCAGCUGCUAGUUCUAACUACUAGUUUAUCAGGAUUAUUAGACCUUCCAGCUGACCGUGACACUCCAAGCUCUCUGGUGCUGGAAGAGACCUUUCCUGAGGCCUCUUCAGAACAGACCAUUGUCCCUGGAGUCCCUCAUAGUCUAGUAACUAGCUCUAACAUUCUCACUGUUGCAGUCAGUGAUAUGACUCAGCUGACUGGAGGUGUUACAGAGGGUCCCCCUUCAGUUGCAGCUGGAGUUGGCCUUUCCUCAGCCACACAUCCCCUUGAUCAUCUCAAACUUGAUGCAGAGAUUGCCAGCACAUCCUCUACAGAGAGAAUCCUGCCAGUGGGACAGCUGGGUCAUAGACUGAAAGAGCACACUACUGAAAUGGCAUGUACUGGUUCUGAUUCCACUAGUUGUCCAACCUGGGUGUCUGACCUUAGUACAGCUGUGGAACAAAAGGGUUCUCCUAGCCUUAUUAUUACACAUGCUCCUGCUAAUCUAACAAGAGUUUCUCCCUCUCAAGAAUCAAUGAGAGGUGUCUCCUCCAAGCCAGACACUCCAGUUGCUGGUACCAGUCGGGCUUUGACCUACUCCACAGUCCUGGCUAGUGUGAAGCCUGUUGCAGGCUUCCUGCAUGAAGACACUGCAGCCAAUUCUCUAUCCCAUAUGUUGCCUAUUAGCAAGGGCCCUAGAAGUCAGUCCAGUACUUCUGCUUGCUGCCCUGAGAGAUCCUCUAGUAUCUCAAGAGCCAGUACAGCUACAAACAUUACUAGUGCCACCCUCUACAGGGAAUUAUCUAAAACUGUGAAGUUCCUUGAUAAAGAGCAGACUCCAGCGGCUGCUGAAGUAGUGGCUAAAAUGCCUCCUGGCUCCUCAGAGCUCCCGCUGGAAGCUUCAAGUGAUGCUCCAACUACAGAGCUGCUUUCCAGUUCAAGUUCAGCAAAGCCACAAGCUCAGCCAGCACGUAAGCAUUACUCACUCCGUAGACCAGGAAUGAGAAGAAGGCUGUCCACCCCAGCUGACUUGGUCUUAUCCCACUCAACCACAUCUCUGCCUAGUGGGACAGACAUCCAGCCAGGGCCAAAGGUGCACACUUCUCCCCGGAAUAAGACCUUCCCUUUGCUGCCCUCUAAAACAAGUAGCGAUACAAGUGUCAUAAUGAAGACUGAGACAAACAUCACCCAUUCCACUCCCCUGUACCUAAACCGAACAGGGCUAACAUUGCUUGGUGGCUCAACCCCUACUGGAAUGGAACAUACUCCAGUACCUAGAACAGCAGCUGGUGUCCCAGUAGCUUCCACUACAGCUGCAUCAGAAUGGAAGCCCACAUCAGCAACUCUGGGAGAGCAAAAAGUCCCAGGUGUGUCUACAAAGGCAGCAAACUUCAGUGGGUUGGCCUCUACUGAGUCUCCAGUCAGUGUUAUGGCACCUGCUGUUGGGUUGACAGACACUGCCGUGCUUGUGGAGAAGGCUACACCAGUCAAAAAUAGAACAGCUGCUCCACUGCCUUCACCUCCAGAGCUAAGUACAACUACACUACUUACUAGUACAAACCUUACACAGUCUUUUGGGCCCAAUGCUCCCAUUCUCCAGCCCCUCGCUGAAGCCAAACCUAGUGUGGUGACUUCCCUUCGUAGUACCCCCAGCAUUCUACCCACAACAAAGACAACGGCCCUGCUCACUAGUGCCAGACCUUCAACCACCCCUGGCCUGCAGCUUCCUACUGUACCAAAGACCACUAAGCUGAUGCCUUGGAACAAAACCACUCUAUCAACAUUGCUUAUACCUCCUACAUCAACCUUGUCCACCCGCUUACUGCUAAUCUCCCAACACAGUUCAACAGCUAAAACAGACCUCAGUGAAUUAACUAGGACAAUGGCUGCAAGAACGAACUUAACCACAGCUGCAGUGUCUGCCAAGCAGGUGGCUACAAUCAAAACUGGCCUCAUUUCAAAGCAGAUCCUGCCUGAAUCUGAGGUUCCAACACUGAGCUUCUCUCCUAGGGGAAAGACUGGGUCUGCAACUAGACCUACAUCACCUUCACUGCAGUUGCCUGUGCAUAUCCUAUCUCUGCAGUUCCGUCUUAUUGGAAUCGCUUACACAGAACUCCUGAAGAACAAGUCUUCUGAUGGGUACAAGAAGCUGGAGAAGGAAGUGAAGUUAACUCUAAACAAGAUGUUAUCCAGCUAUGAGAACUUUCUCCAAGCAAACAUUCUCCAGUUUUUGAACGGUUCCAUCAUUGUUGAGAGUGAGGUUUUAUUCCAGAGAGAUGGCCCUGCUCCCACAAACUCUGACCUCAUCCGCACAGUUGUCACAGAAGUGGAAAGGAAAAUGGACACCUUUUUUGACUGGAGAGUGGAUGUCAAGUCUGUCCGGUCAAAUGGUUUCAGCUUUGAGAAUCUAGAACCAGAAAAGCUGUCUGUCUCAUUCACUGCUCUGAGACUCGGCUCAAUUGCAGCGUUCGGUGGGGUGAGCAGCCAGGGCUCUCUGGACCAACUAAACAAUGUGGUAUGGUAACUCUUAUACUGAAUCGCAUGACAAUGGAGCAGUGUCUCCCUUUAUCUCUUGUAAGAGAAGAAUGAUCACCUCAUGGUUAAGGCAUGGGAAUGUGGGCUCUUGUGUUCUGUUGGGUAUGUCACUUGAUAUCUGCAAAGUGAGGAUAAUGCUUGACAAUCUUGCAAGGCUGAGUGACUCACUAACUCUAGCAGAGGUCUUAGUGCCCUGCAAGUAGAGGCUAGUGAAGACCGUGACGCACAAAUAACCAUAUGGCUGCACAUAGUAAAUAGACCACCAGAACUCCAAUCUAGUUCCACUGGGGUGAAAGGAAAGAGCGGCUCAGCUGCAUAUCAAGGACUGCAAGGGACAUGAAGAGAUAUUUAGGGAAUGGAAAUGGCCUAAAUAACUGAAUUAGGAAUAAGGUUCCUGUUGAAUUGUCACUUCAGUCUCCCCAACCCCUCUUCUGUUGAAGCUGGGAAACAAAUUGUCCCCUUUCUUCUCUGUAGGUGGUUCAGUCUCUGGGGGCCCUAUACAAAGUGAAGAACUUCACCUUUGUCAGACUCAGGGACAUCAAAGGUGACCUGGAGAUCAGUGGCAAAGCCUACAUUGACACACAUGCCCAUGCUGAUGUCAGCCAGGUUCUGGAAGCACUGAGGGGUCUUGUUAACUACUCUGUAGACUUGACAACUCUCUCUGUGGAUGAUUCAAGGCUUAGCUUGCAGGUCUUCCCCAUUUCCUUCCUGAUCAACAACAGGACAGUCAAUGAGAAACUGCUGGAUCACUCUUCUGUGGAACACCAGAACCUCACCAGGGACCUUGCUGAUGUGGUAGGCCUACCAAUUUCCAGCCAGUGACACCAGUGUACUCUGAGAUCCUUCUGGGAAUGGAGAGGAGACCUCAUAGAAUCCCUCUUGAGAUCUUAAGGGCAGAAAGGAGGAAUCUAGAAAGCCUUACUUCAAGGCUUUAGACUAAUCCUAAAUAUAGGCCUUGGACUACCCCAUCUGCUAGGAGAAGGAGCACUCUCAACUUGGAAUAAAAUGGUUACAGUGCUUUAUCAUAACUAGUGUCUCCAGAGGCUUGGAGCACCAGUAAUCCCCCACCCGAGGCUCUCUAGUGAAACCAGGCUCUUGCGGGGGACAGUCUGCUCGCUCUUGUUGCUCACUUAAAUGAUCUCACAAAUCAAACAACUUUGUAAAAUUCCAUCACAGCAAAAGCUUCAGCUGGAGGGUUGUGGUAGGGAAGGGGGAGUUGCAACUAAACUGCUUCUUACGGCUACGCUACUGGAGCAUGCUACGCUUAAUCAGACUUCGUAGCGUCUGAGCUUCAAAGCUCACUUGGCUUCCUAACGUGGUGUCCUAUAUGCGAGGCUCUAAUAGAAUUCCAGGCUCAGCCUAGAAUAUUGACAUGGAUUGAAGGCAUCUGAGUUACUCCAGACAAGUGUGUCCUUGCUGGAGCUCCCACAACUUUAACUGGUGGGUGAAGCUAAGGGCUUGGCUACACUUGCAAGUUACAGGGCAAUAAAGGAGCCCCAGGCACACUAGCUCACUACCCAUCCACACUGGCAAGGCAUGCAGAGCACUCUGACUCUGGCUACAGUGCUGCUGGUACUCCACCUCGGCAAGUGGAAUAACCUUUUUGCUGUGCCCCGCUGGAGCACUGCAGUGCCCGUGUGGACGAGGGGUUGCAUUACUGCGCUCUGAUCAGCCUCUGGAAACAUCCCCUAAUCCCCUUAAGUGGCCACUCUUCUCAUUGUCUUUUUGAAUCACUGUAGGAAUGAAGAAAUGCCCUUUGAAAGCUCAGUUUCUGACAGCCAGCUGCUUAUCUGCUCUGAGACAAAGCAACCAUUACUGUGAAAUGCUGUGUGUGAGAGGGAGGUAGCAGGGGGAGUGGUCUGAUGCUGUCUGAACUUACAAGACAGCAUGUUGACAUGCGCUCAGCCCCCCAAAAACCCACUCUCCCCCCACAUACACACAACCCACUCCACUCCCCACCCCCCAUUUGAAAAGCCCAUUGCAGUCACUUGCAUUAUGGGCAGCUAUCCCAGCAUGCACCACACCCAAUGCCGCUGCAAAUGUGGCCAUGCCAGUGCGCUUGAAGCUGUCUGUGGACAGACUGCAGCGCUUUCCCUACUGUGCUCUACAAAGGCUGGUUUAACUCAAAGCGCUCUACGUUGGCGAGUGUAGCCAUGCUCUAGCUCUUAAGCCUGGGUCUGACUCCUGCUGAGGAAAGAGUGGUCUGAAUGGGGUUGAGCUGGAGACAGAUGUUCUGAGUACCUUGCUGGCAGAGGCUUCACAAUGGGACAAAAUGCCUGUGGGAGGGGAACUGAAUCAGUCUAACUCUGAUCCACUCUUCCAGCUGAUGCAUUCCCUGAGGAAAUACCAAGGCCUCCUGCAAGUGGUAAUUCGAGACUUCCUGUGAGUAAACGCUCUGCUUCUGUGUAGGCUGGAAGGCCUCUUGUCUGCCUCCUACAAGGUUGUCUUCUGGGGCACCAAGGGAUCAAUGUAUCUGUACUAGAAUAUAUCACUACCCUAGUAGGGUUAGGAAGAUGCCAGUUGAAAGUGCCUGACCAAAGCAUUUGUCACAUGUUUGUGUCUCAAUCCAUUAUUGAGACUCCCACACUACAGUAAUGGUGUUUCUGGAUCCAAAAAGCAUGCCUCCCUCUUCUACCUACUAAGUUUCCCACCAACUUCAAUGAACCUCUGGCUAGAAGGUAACCAUUCCCCAUAAGAAGCAGUGGAUCUUAAUUCCCAUGCUGCCUAGAGCCUGUGACAAUUGGGAGUCUAAGACUGAAUGAUUCCAGGAUGCAGCCCUGGGUUAAAAGCCAUGGGUCUGGCUCAAGUCCAGACUGCCUGUGGCCCUCUGGGUGACUGCUACUGUGCCUCACUGGAAUCUAUUGCUCUCUCCACAGAAGUGGCUCCCUGAUCUGUCAUGGGGAUGUUGUAUUCCAGCACCCUGCCCCAGCCAGUACAGACGUUCUGCAGACUCUUGUUCUUUCAGUUGGUCCAGGUCACAUGUUGGCUGGGUCAGGCUUUCAGGUGGACCCGUAUUCUUUCACAGUGGCAGAUGACCAACUGGAACCUCCCUUUGUGUAUCCAAGUUUCCCUGGAUAUGCCAUGGCAAUUAUUGUCAUGUGUGGCCUUGUUCUAAUUGCCAUUCCCAUUGUGGCUCUGCUGUACCUGAAUUCUGGGCUAUUUGGCUGGCACGACAAGGCUAUAAUUCAGGGUGGGAGAGACCAUGAAGCAGGGACACAGACAUUUGAACUGGAUAAUCAAGGAUUCCGCUCUACCAUUG